GCAAUGACCACCACCCUUAAAAACUUUUGGAAAAAUAAAAUUGUUAAUGAAGCAAGGUUGAAAUGUUUUUAAUACUGGCUCUGAUGUAGAAAAUUUUAAACAAGUUGAAGUUGAGAAAGGCACACUCAUAUUAGUAAAGCCUUUUGUAAAGGGACACUUUAUGGUCAGGGAACAAGAACAAUGGCAGCGCUGGCUGAUGCGACUCUCACUGAGGCUGGACUGGUGAUAAUUGAUUUCUUAUACUCAUUUUUCCCCCUCAGCUUCCUGUUACGAUUUAUGACGAAUUGCUGAUGAGUAGAUAUGCAUUUUGAGGACUUAAGGGACUCCAGCACUGCCACAAUGCCAAGCCUCAGCUGCUCUCCAUGACCCCGUCAUGCCUUCAAAACCACUACCACCUCACUGACUCUUGCACUAUCAAGUUUGGUGACAAUGCAAGGCAUCUUGAUUCGCUGAAGAAUGACACCCUGGACUUAAAUAGUAUGUAAACACAAGGAGUGUUUUAUUCUGCAGAAGACAAGAAUGCUGGAAUGUCCCAUUACCAAACUAGAGAGACUCCCCAAGUGAGCUUGCAGGCCUUAUGUAAAGCACAUUAGGGAAUUCCGUGAUAAGUCAACCUCUAUGUUAAUCUGUUGGGUCCAUUUCUGUGGACAUUCCAUUACCAGGUUGUGGGGGCUGGAAACUUGCUGGGGAGGUCUGGAAACUGUUGCUGAGGAAGUCUGGAAACUGCUGCUGACCC